AGCAGCCGCGGUAAUUCCAGCUCCAAUAGCGUAUAUUAAAGUUGUUGCAGUUAAAAAGCUCGUAGUUGAAUUUCGGAAUCAAUAUGUUGGUCGUGCCAUUGGUACGCACUGGCAUUAUUGGUUUCUACCUUCUGAAGAACCUCGAUGUCAUUAAUUUGGUGUCUUGGGGAAUCAGGACUGUUACUUUGAAAAAAUUAGAGUGUUUAAAGCAAGCUCGCGCUUGAAUACAUUAGCAUGGAAUAAUGAAAUAGGACGUUUGAUUCUAUUUUGUUGGUUUCUAGGAUUGACGUAAUGAUUAAUAGGGAUAGUUGGGGGCAUUAGUAUUCAAUUGUCAGAGGUGAAAUUCUUGGAUUUAUUGAAGACUAACUACUGCGAAAGCAUUUGCCAAGGAUGUUUUCAUUAAUCAAGAACGAAAGUUAGGGGAUCGAAGACGAUCAGAUACCGUCGUAGUCUUAACCAUAAACUAUGCCGACUAGGGAUCGGAUGAUGUUAAUUUUUUAAUGACUCAUUCGGCGCCUUACG
rnacentral:rRNA from 1 species